rnacentral:rRNA from 1 species
CCUACGGGAGGCAGCAGUAGGGAAUAUUGCUCAAUGGGGGAAACCCUGAAGCAGCAACGCCGCGUGGAGGAUGACGGUUUUCGGAUUGUAAAACCCUUUUGUUCGGGGAGCAAAUGCCGCUAUCUAACGAAUAAACACCGGCUCACUCCGUGACAGCAGCCGCGGUAAUCCGGCGGGUGCCAGCGUUACUAGGAAUCACUGGUCGUAAAGCGCGCGUAGGCGGGCUAGCAGGUCAGAUGUGACAGCCUAUGGCUUAACCGUAGAACUGCAGUUGACACUGGAAGGCGUGAGUUUAGGAGAGGUGGGCGGAAUUCAUGGGUGAGCGGUGAAAUGCGUAGAUAUCAUGAAGAAUGCUGAUCGCGAAGGCAAGUGUCCGGGGUGCAACUGAAGCUGAGGCUCGAAAGUGUGGGUAUCAAACAGGAUUAGAUACCCUUGUAGUC